rnacentral:sRNA from 1 species
UCCAUCAAAAGGCAGACCAAAAGUGG